rnacentral:rRNA from 2 species
AGCAUGUGGUUUAAUUCGAAGCAACGCGAAGAACCUUACCAGGGCUUGACAUGCCGCUGACCGGUGCAGAGAUGCAUCUUUAUCCUUCGGGGUACAGCGGACACAGGUGGUGCAUGGUUGUCGUCAGCUCGUGUCGUGAGAUGUUGGGUUAAGUCCCGCAACGAGCGCAACCCUUGUCUUUAGUUGCCAUCAUUAAGUUGGGCACUCUAAAGAGACUGCCGAUGACAAAUCGGAGGAAGGUGGGGAUGACGUCAAAUCAUCAUGCCCUUUAUGUCCUGGGCUACACACGUGCUACAAUGGUCGGUACAACGAGAAGCAAGCCAGCGAUGGCAAGCAAAUCUCUAAAAGCCGAUCCCAGUUCGGAUUGCAGGCUGCAACUCGCCUGCAUGAAGUCGGAGUUGCUAGUAAUCGCGGAUCAGAAUGCCGCGGUGAAUGCGUUCCCGGGUCUU